rnacentral:rRNA from 1 species
GACGAACGCUGGCGGCGUGCUUAACACAUGCAAGUCGAACGGUAAGGCCCUUCGGGGUACACGAGUGGCGAACGGGUGAGUAACACGUGGGUGAUCUGCCCUGCACUUCGGGAUAAGCCUGGGAAACUGGGUCUAAUACCGGAUAGGACCACUGCCUGCAUGGGUGGUGGUGGAAAGCUUUUGCGGUGUGGGAUGGGCCCGCGGCCCAUCGGCUUGUUGGGGGGGUGAGGGCCUACCAAGGGGACGACGGGUAGCCGGCCUGAGAGGGUGACCGGCCACACUGGGACGGCGAUACGGCCCAGACUCCGACGGGAGGCAGCAGUGGGGAAUAUUGCACAAUGGGCGCAAGCCUGAUGCAGCGACGCCGCGUGAGGGAUGACGGCCUUCGGGUUGUAAACCUCUUUCAGCACCGACGAAGCGCAAGUGACGGUAGGUGCAGAAGAAGGACCGGCCAACUACGUGCCAGCCGCCGCGGUAA